AUGGAUCCUGAAAUGAGGGAUCGUGUUAGGAAGAGGGAGGAGGAGGAUGACGAAAUGAUGUUAUUUGUUUUCCCUGCACUACAUUUGAUAGAGACCGAUGGAGUUGCUCUUAGGGAGCGGAGGAUUCCGCGUCAUACAUCAUCGCUAACAGGCGAGAUGUUUGUUAAGGAGUUACUCGAAGGGCACGUCAAAACCGUCGUGUAG
rnacentral:rRNA from 1 species